CAGGCAGACCAGGAGCUGACUCUGAGGAAGAUAGAAUGAAGAGGGAUGGGGAAGGAAAGCUCAAUGUUUGGAGCCUACUCUCACCCAGGUUCUCACAGUGAAUAUCAGAGAAAAAUCUUCAUGCUUCUGGAAGUGGUAAGGGAAGAGUAACCAUUUGCAAUAUGCCAGAGCAUUCAAAGAUAAAGAAAAAAAAUUUAUUGAAAAAAAGCCAGAGGAGCAAAGAUAAGGAUUAAAUCCAACUUCUCAAGCAAGGAGAAAGCAGAGAACAAUAUUUAAACUGUUGAGAGAAAAAAAAACAUCACCAGUUAGAAUUCUGUUUUCUGAGAAAUAUCCUUCAAAAGUGGAGGAGAAAUAAAGAUGUUUGCAAACAAAAUUGAGGGAAUCUGUUGCCAGUAGAUUUGCCUUGUAAGAAAUAUUAAAACAAGUUCUUCAGAGAAAAGGAAAAUGGUAUAGGUCAAAAAUCUGGAUCUACAUAAAAGGAGCAACAGAAAAAGAAUAAGUGAAGGCUUCAAAGAAUAAAUUAAGGCGAAAAGAAAAUUUAUGAGAGAUGUUGAAUAAGGAGAAUCAAAUUUGAAGUGGAAAGGAAUACCAGAGCAAAGUCCAGAAUGACUAGGACUGACAGGUGGGGUGGUGCUUAACAUGCUGGACUCCCACAUGACUGACUGCAGUUUGAAUUCCAAAC